UCCGCAGAGGACGCGGAUGGCCAUGCACCGGAUGCUGGGCGCGGGCCUGGCUCUACGUCUCCUGCGGGUGGCGGGGCGGCGGGGCCGGGGCUGCCCGGCGCGCCUGCUGCGGGGUCCGGCGGGAGGCCGAGCGCCCGCGGCGGACGUGCCGCCGUGCCGAGAGGCGCCGCGCGGCCUGGGCCCGGGCCUGCUGCCGCUGCUGGCAGCGCUCGCCUGGUCCUCGAGGCCCGCCCCGGCGGAGCAGGAGCAGGAGCGGGAGCGGCAGGGCGCGGGCGGGGCGGCGGCCGGGGACGCCGAGGCCGAGAUCAUCCAGCUGCUGAAGCGAGCCAAGUUGUGCAUCAUGAAAGAUGAGCCAGCAGAGGCAGAGCUAAUUUUGCAUGAUGCUCUUCGUCUUGCCUAUAAGAGUGAUAACAAGAAGGCCAUCACUUACACUUACGAUUUGAUGGCCAACUUAGCAUUUAUACGGGGUCAGCUUGAAAAUGCGGAAAAACUUUUUAAAGCAACAAUGAGUUACCUGCUUGGAGGGGGCAUGCAACAGGAAGACAAUGCAAUAAUAGAAAUCUCUCUAAAGCUGGCCACUAUUUAUGCUGCUCAGAAUAGACAGGAUCUGGCUCUUGCUGGUUAUGAAUUCUGCAUUUCAACUCUAGAGGAAAAAAUUGAGAGAGAAAAGGAAUUAUCAGAAGACACUUUGUCAGUGGAAGAGAAAGCCAACACCCACCUCCUCUUGGGCAUGUGCCUAGACACCUAUGCCCGCUACCUUCUGUUCUCCAAGCAGCCAUCACAGGCACAAAGGAUGUAUGAAAAAGCUUUGCAGAUUGCUGAAGAAAUACUAGGAGAAAGACACCCACAGACCAUCGUGCUGCUGAGUGACCUGGCCACCACCCUGGACGCGCAGGGCCGCUCCGACGAGGCCUGUGUUCACGCACAGAGGGCGUCAGACCUGGCGAGACAGGUGGAGCACCCUGAGCUCCACGUGCUGCUCAGUAAUCUGGCUGCGGUCCUGAUGCACAGAGAACGAUAUGCACAAGCAGAAGAGAUCUACCAGGAAGCACUGAAGCGAGCAAAGCUGAAAAGAGAUGAGGUUUCUGUGCAGCGCAUCAGGGAAGAGCUGGCUGGGCUGUCAAGAAAAAGGAGACCUUUGUCGUAGCCUUGCCGAGCUCUGGACCCCUUUCUGUUGUAGCGAAUUUAUGGUAACACCUCUCAUUCCAGUCCCAGUGGCACCCUGAUCAAUGGCUUAAACCCUCUGUCCUUGAUAGUCAAGUCCCCUCACCUUAGCCUUGCUGGAGGACAAGCUGUACACAGCGUGCACUGCCACGUUUGCUUUGCGAAGAAAGCUCCCCCCCCCACCUGAUUUUGCUUCUGCGACUGGUGUCGGUUAAUGCUUUCCGUUGCAGCAGACGGCUGGUUAGGUGCUGUCCAUGCUGGCCCGAGAAUAGAUUAAGAGGGGCCAGUUUCCCUCUGGGGUGGGGUCUGGCAUUUCAGCCAGGCAUCUCUCCCAUAAGAUUUUUGUCCACUGAUUUGCUGCCUUCUCUUAUCAACACCUGGCAGACCAGAGCUACCGGUCUCAUGGCAAAGGGGGAUGACGGUUUUACUGAGAAUUUCUGACCCUCCUCGUUGAUGCGGCUCCCGGUCCCGGAACACCUGCGGGAGUUUUCAGACAGCUCUGCACGCGGCGCGGUCACUACAGUUCACUGUACUGAGGCAGUGAAACGAGGAGGACUGGCCUGCCACUGACCGGGCUGAAUCCAAAGGUGAACUGUUCACAGUAGUAUAAAAACUUGAACUAUCUCACUGGAGCUUUCAGGGCAUGGAUAUUUUAAGAUAGAAUCACCCAGCACACCCACAUUCAAGCACUACGAAUCUUCUCAUCAUGAACACGCGGUGGACACUGGCUGUCUGUCACAGUUCUGUGAACUGUAACUUCGUUCUGGGUGCUAAAAAAUAGUCACUUGCCAGGCUGUAGCUUCAGAACCCUGGGGUCUCAGCCCGCAGCAUCCCGCCUCGGUUCACAGCUGACUUGGCCAAGUCACGUCACGCCGGGUGGGCCUCCACCUCCCACAUGGUCUGCCCGCUCUGCAGGCCAGCACUCCGUCCUGCCCUUGUUCUGAACCGAGGCGGGACCGUGGGUUUUGUCUCCCGUUGCGGGAUCUCUUCUCCAGGUGACGGCAGGUGAAGUAAAACAACUUGCACUGUGAUGAGGAGGGGUGAGUGGUCAACAGCCGCCCCCUUUGGGUCCUGAGUGGAGCUGCACAGGUUACGCACAGGGCUCUGAUCUGACGUGUUCUCAAGAACUAGUCAUAGAAAAAUACCAGCAUCAUCUCUUUGGGACUGUUGACAAAUAAUUAAAAUCUAAAAUGUUACUAGUACCUAAACAAAACUUUAAGCAAAAACCUUAAGUUACUGUUUUUCAUUCACAUUAAAACUUUUAAAGUAUUUAUAAAGUCGUACCAGCUUUCCGAGUAGUAGGGAUUUGACCACUACACCUGAUCUAAAGCUUACUUGGAGGACCUCAAGCAUACGCAGGUGCGCAGUUCCCUUAGCUUCAGACAGGUGUCGGUCUGUGGCCCUGUCUUCGUUGCUUAUUUAACUGUGUGGGCAACGUACUGAACCUGCAUCCACAUCUAUAAAAAGGGGACUAGACACCAAGGUCCCCUCCACUGCAAAGGAGGCGCUUAGUCAGUGGUUGUCGGACACCUGCUGUCUUUAGAGGCUUGAGUACUUUUGCUUAAAAGCUCAGGUCUACUUAAGAGUCUAUAAAGUGCUAGUUUUUAUCUUUCUGAGAGACCUCUAUCUCGGUGGCAUUCCCCCAAAACCAUUAGCAUCCGUGUGCUACAGAAGGAUGCUUCAAUGCUAUGUUAAAGUUGUAUGAAAAAAAGUUUUUAAUUCAACAAGCAAUUAUUAUUGAAGGGUAAGACUGAUCCUCUAGUACCAUAAUGGGUUUAAAAUUCAGUCUUUUAAGUUAUUUGCUUCUUGAGAUUCAGUGAAAUAAAAACACCUGACGAACUCUUGCCCACAAGGAAUCAAAGUGAAAGUAAGCACAGGGCGGCACGAAGGGGAAAGGACUGGCUGCUCCCCACGAGAGCUCAGGUUAUGCGGCACGAAGCAAACCUAAAACACGGAGGUUCUGCACAGACUGUAACCUUCUGACUCUCAACCAAUAAUAGCUAUCAAACUAAAGGAAAGUGUAAGUUUUUCCUUUGAAACCUGAGACAGCGAAAGGCUCACAUCACAAGUACUCUACUGUAGCUAGUGGACAGGGCGGUCAGAUUUAUUUCAGAACAAAAGCUUUGCUGGGCUGCAUCAAAUGCAGGAGAGGAGGAGUGCUUGGGUGUGGUUAAUUACCAGUGUGCAUAACAGUGAGGUAUGCCUCAAAUAAGCCUUUAAAACCUUAAAAACUGAACUAUAACAAUACCCAUGCAGUACUAUUUUUUCAGUGCUUCUAAUUAAAAAAAAAAUUAAAGCCUGCACUGGAGAUUUACAGUAUGGCAGAAUUUUGUUUCUCCUUUUGACCCUAAUACGUUAACGUACAGAUUUUAUGACAGGGUCUGUGUUAAAAAUCUAAACAUUUAUCACAAGAUUUUAAACAUCACUGGGAAUCUGAGUUUGGAGGAAACAAAAUUGGAUAAAAGUACAAUGCCCGUGACAGCCAAUAUUGUAUAACUGGGCUGUAUGAGGUUGUUUAGAAGGCAAAGGUUAAAAAGACGAGAUUUUUAAAAAUUACCCCCAGAGUUGAUGCGCUGAUUUGAAUAUAAGUACACGAGAUACUAGAGCGAGGGGAAACACUGCAAAAAGGUCAUCUAUUUACAGAAGAGUGAUUUAAAGACAUUAUGAUUUUCUUUACAAACAGAUGUAAGAACAGGAAUUAUCCACUUUUUAAAAACUCUACAUUCCAACCCUCCACUAUUAUUAUGAUCCACUGAACUGCCUGUAUCAGGGCAGCCUUUUCCCCUCAUUUGACUCUUGAAAUAAACUUCCAUCAUUUCGUCGUCGUCUGUGGCCCAGGCUCUCCUGGAAAGUCUCUGGGCACAAGUCCUAGGAGGGCAGGCUUUUGGCCUGCACUUAAAACUGAGACCACCAGAAACUAGAGCCCCUCCCCCACCCAGGGGGCCCCGGGACCCCUUCCCGCAGGUCAGUCGCUGUCGGACAGCGUCUCAUACUGCGCGGAGAGCAGCGGGGCCGGCUCCCGAUCCCAGAUCCUGCUCGGCUGGUGAGGGGCGGCGGGGCUGGCAGAGGCGGGCGCACAGGCGACGGGCGCACAGGCGACGGGCGCAGGGGGCGUGCUGCUGAGCAUCCGCAUGGUCAGGGGGUUGUAGGGGAACUGCGUCGAGCCUGCGGGAGGAGGAGGGUUAGGUUAUGCGCGUUCCGCUUCUGCUCUGGACAGUGGACCCCCCUAGUGAGGCUGUAAUAUGGAAGCGGUGUUCGAAGCAGCGCUAACCGAGGCACUGACGUCGGCUGCUUUCGGACUCCGAGCAGCUCCUUACCUGUGGAGGAAGGCCUGUCCUCCCAGGCCCAGCCUGGCGUCUGCCUGUGGUAGUCCCCUUCCGAGUGCACAGAGGAGGCCGAGGAGGGCCGUUCAGCUCCCAAGUAGCCUUGCCCCGGGAUAGGAGAUUUCGACUUCCUGCUGUUUGACUUGCUGAUCAGCUUUGGUUUGCAAACUCCUCCUAAAGGUGAAAUAAAUUAUUACUGCUGAUAUUUAGUAAUUAUGUUCUCAACUUUAAAAUCUACCAAAAUGCCGAUGAUUGUCUAAUGCUAAGUGAAGGAAGCAAAGUGGUGGCAUGAAGAAUCCAAACCCUAGUGCCUAAUGAAGUAAAGAAGUAACAUUUAAAAGAAAGCCAGAAUUUACUUACAGCAGCUAAAGUCAAAACGGGGUAUGUCCUCAUGCCAUAAACUCAGAAACGUGUAAUCAAGGAACUAGCAUUUCUGGAACAUCAUUUCUUUCUUGGCCUUGGAGCACAGAAACUGCUUAAGGAAAUGGAAGCUGGCUGACAAAAAUCUUAAAUCCUCAUUUUUUCCUCCCCCACCAGUUUACAGAGGAGGAAUAAAACUGUAGAACAGAAGCCCCUUCAGGGCACUACUGGACCUCAGCAGAGCCUGACAAGUCAAGGUGGCCCUUUCUGCUGCUCCAGGCUGUACAGCUGAUGAACUCAGCAGGAGUUCACAGGAGUGGGAAGCCCCAAGUGGGCUCUAGAACAAAACGUGAAAAAGAUCUCAGAAGAGAUCAGAGUCCAGGUCACCAGCAAAUGUUUUCCUCAGCCCUAGCAGAACAGUCUCACCCUGCCCCCAGUCCUUCGAGGUACAGAAAAAAGGAACAGAAAGCAACUCUGACCCCUCCAACUAUCUGGAAAAAGAAGAAAUGCAAAUCCUUGGUGAUAAGGAAAAGAAUAUAAUAAAGAAAUGGGCGGGGGAAGGGGCAGGGAACGUGAUUCAAACACUGGAGAAAACUUCGGAAUACAUGAAGCCAGUUUAAGAAAAGCUCACAGAAUAGAUAACCAAAAUGAAAGAGGCGAAAGGGCUUAGGAAACAAAAGACAGAACAGCAAGGGUCAGAAUAGACACGAGGGAAAGGGAAUUAUUAGUGCAAAGGAAAAAUUUGAGAGACUCGCAGUAAAAGCAACAGAAAAAGAUCAAGAUGACUAAAAUAAUUAGAAGGUUAACAGAUACAGAGGUCAAAAACUAUCCAGCAAAAAGGUAACUUUCUGAAAUGGAGGGUCCAAAAGAGAGGGAAGGUAACUAAGAGCAACAUUCGGUAGAACAUUCCCCUGAGUGCAGAUACCAACCUGAAGGGGCAGCACCCUCCUGUGAGCAGCAGGGCGAGGAGCACUAACACUCAUGACAAAUUUACUGAAGUCGAGGUAAAAAAAGGAUUCUUUGGGCAGAGAGCCACCACCAAAAAAAGGUGGUGGUGGGGGAGACAUCUGGUCUUAUUUUUUAUACAACAACGAAUGCCAGAAAAAAGCCUAACAGUGUCUACGGGAUAUUUUGAGAAAAGUACGUGCUGAGUAUCACAACCUGCCAAACUGCCGUCUCAAACAUAAAGGCAGCAAGAAGACACUGUCGAGCACGCACCUCAGGAUACAGCAGCCUUUCGGAGAAAACAGGGUGUGAAAACCUUACCAGAAAGAAACACCAUAAUAGAAAGAUUAUGUAACCAGGAUAACUGUAACUGUGUAAGUCACCAAUACUACAACCUUAAAACACACACACUUAAAAUCAAUAAAAAUCAGAAUGCUAGAGCAGAGAUGGGAGACAGUGGCUCAUCUUUUAGAGCAGGAAGUAAAUUCAUAUUGUCCUAAAAUUAACAUAUAUAUGUAAAAAUAAAUAACUAAAGCCCCCUAAUCUCUUUAUCUUUUUAACCUUAGUGAGAUCGUCUGUUUGACCAUAACAGGAAAAUAAACUAAACUUGAAAUGUUACUGACCUUCAGGUAGUUUUUAAGGUAUAAAGGAUUAAGAAGAAAGCUUAUAUAUACACACAGAAAGAGCAGAGUCCUGGUUCUUGUGUGCUUGCUUCUAACAGGAUGCAUACAAUUACCUCAUUCCAAUAAGCUGUCCUUUUAUGUAAACACCACCACUAGCUUUCUGGACGAUGUGAUCUGGUUUUUUUCCCUCUUUUCUGUGGCUUAAAAUUCUUUUAUACUGAGCCUGUCAUUUUUAUUACAAUAGUAAGUUACUUUGAUUCAAGAGCAGAAUAUGAAAUUGCACUUGUAUUACAAUUGCAAUGUAUGUAUACAGAUAAGGACUAGAUGCAAGCAAAAAGGGUGACUUUCUGGGUAAAAAUUUUCAUCCUUUUAAAUUUCACAUUACUAAUAUGUCUGAGCAGGUUAGAAAAAAGACUUGGUUUAAGUAACUAAAACCUUCAGAGGUGACUCAGCACAUAAAUGAAAUCUUAGUGAUCCAUUAGAACUUGGGGUAUAAAUUGGCUUUUUCUUGGGAAAGGUGGCAGAAGAGCACGGAAAUGAGCCCUUUACCUGAAUGAGGUGACGGGUCCCCUUCCUCUCUCCGGGCCUCACCGCUGGUCGCCACCGAGGUGCCGGCACCACCAGGCACCCCCCCCAGGGGCUGGGGCAUGGCGACCCCGUGGUCCUCCACUUUGUCUUCAAAGCUCCCCAUGAGCGCCUUCCGGAUGAUGUCCUCCAGCCCGAGGUUGCUGGCAGGGUCAGCAAAGGAAUGACCUCGGGAGCUCACGGAGCCUGCAAAAGACGAGCAGGACGAGUCUGCCUGAUUCCGAGGGCAGGUCGGGAGACAGGAGCCCCCCCCAGGACACGCAGCACCUGGCAAGGUGCCCACAACACAGAGCCCACGUGGAGGCCGGCUAAGGCCAGCGAGCGUAGCUCACAGGCAAUGUGGUUUUCUUUGUUAAAUCAGGCACCCACUUGUGUGAGAGUUGCUCGAGGAUGGCUUCCUUCUUUUUAGCUCUUUAAUAGUUUUGACUCUCUUUCUUCAUUUAUCUUUUCAACAAGUACUCACUGAAUCUCAACUCAUUAUUUACCGCCAUUGACUCCCUCCCUCCCUGACUAAACGAUGAGCUUUCCUGGAGCAGUUUCCUGUAUGCAGUCGGUAUUCGAUACCUAUUUGCUGGACUGACUGCUACUGUACCAGUUUCCUGUUGGCAAACAAUGUCUUGAAUCUUACCUGAGGUGGUGACUGCUGGCAGGUUAAAGAUCUCAGUUCCUGGCUGAGCAGCUGCUGUAUUUAAACAAACAUUCAAGUUAAUUGAGAUGUGAUAAUCACAUACAUCAAAAGAGAUAAAGUCUCAAAAAAAAAAAUCCUACAAUAAAAUUAACCUUCUUAUUUUCCAUGAUCUCAACUUUAUUUUUCACCCAUUAAGUGAAGAUAAAGUGAAAGAAAUUUUUUUUUUUUAA